GACGAACGCUGGCGGCGUGCUUAACACAUGCAAGUCGAACGGUAAGGCCCUUCGGGGUACACGAGUGGCGAACGGGUGAGUAACACGUGGGUGAUCUGCCCUGCACUUCGGGAUAAGCCUGGGAAACUGGGUCUAAUACCGGAUAGGACCACUGCCGGCAUGGGUGGUGGUGGAAAGCUUUUGCGGGGUGGGAUGGGCCCGCGGCCUAUCAGCUUGUUGGUGGGGUGAUGGCCGACCAAGGCGACGACGGGGAGCCGGCCUGAGAGGGUGACCGGCCACACUGGGACUGAGAUACGGCCCAGACUCCUACGGGAGGCAGCAGUGGGGAAUAUUGCACAAUGGGCGCAAGCCUGAUGCAGCGACGCCGCGUGAGGGAUGACGGCCUUCGGGUUGUAAACCUCUUUCAGCACCGACGAAGCGCAAGUGACGGUAGGUGCAGAAGAAGGACCGGCCAACUACGUGCCAGCCGCCGCCGUAA
rnacentral:rRNA from 1 species